rnacentral:rRNA from 1 species
CCUACGGGAGACAGCAGUGAGGAAUAUUGGUCAAUGGACGCAAGUCUGAACCAGCCAUGCCGCGUGCAGGAAGACGGCCCUAUGAGUUGUAAACUGCUUUUGUACGAGGGUAAACUCAGAUACGCGUAUCUUUCUGAAAGUAUCGUACGAAUAAGGAUUGGCUAACUCCAUGCCAGCAGCCGCGGUAAUACGGAGGAUUCGAGCGUUAUCCGGAUUUAUUGGGUUUAAAGGGUGCGUAGGCGGGCGGAUAAGUUAGUUGUGAAAGCCCGCGGCUCAACUGCGGAAUUGCCAUUGAUACUGGUAGGCUAGAGAGUAGUUGAGGUAGGCGGAAUGUAUGGUGUAGCGGUGAAAUGCUUAGAGAUCACACAGAACACCGAUUGCGAAGGCAGCUUACCAAGCUACGUCUGACGUUGAGGCACGAAAGCGUGGGGAGCAAACAGGAUUAGAUACCCUAGUAGUC